UGACCAAGAUCAGUGGGUGCCAGGAAGU
rnacentral:piRNA from 1 species